rnacentral:rRNA from 1 species
AGCGAACGCUGGCGGCAGGCCUAACACAUGCAAGUCGAACGAACCUUUCGGGGUUAGUGGCGGCCGGGUGAGUAACACGUGGGAACGUGCCUUUAGGUUCGGAAUAACUCAGGGAAACUUGUGCUAAUACCGAAUGUGUCCUUCGGGGGAAAGAUUUAUCGCCGUUAGAGCGGCCCGCGUCUGAUUAGCUAGUUGGUUGAGGUAAUGGCUCACCAAGGCGACGAUCAGUAGCUGGUCUGAGAGGAUGAUCAGCCACAUUGGGACUGAGACACGGCCCAAACUCCUACGGGAGGCAGCAGUGGGGAAUCUUGCGCAAUGGGCGAAAGCCUGAAGCAGCCAUGCCGCGUGAAUGAUGAAGGUCUUAGGAUUGUAAAAUUCUUUCACCGGGGACGAUAAUGACGGUACCCGGAGAAGAAGCCCCGGCUAACUUCGUG